AGAUUUAAUUUUAGUCUUAUAUAAUAAUUUUAAAUUAUUAAUUAUAUAUAAUUUUAAAAAUUUAAAAAAAAUUACUUUAAUAUAUAAAAUUAUUAAUUAAUAAAAUUUUAAUUAAAAAUUAUUUUAAAUAUAAAUAAAAAUUGUGCCAGCAAUUGCGGUUAAACAAUUUAUAUAAAUUAUUAAUAAAUUAAUUAUAAUUAAUUUAAAAAAUUAAAAAUUUAUAAAUUUUAAUUAUUGAUUAAAUAAAAAAUUAAUUUAAAUAAAUUUUUUUUAAAUUAAAUAAUUUAAAAAAUUUUAUAAAUAACUAGGAUUAGAUACCCUAUUAUUAAAACUAAAAAAAAUAAUUUAAAUAUUAAAUAUUAAUUUAUUAAAUUUAAAAAAAUUGACGGUAUUUUUUUUUAGAUGAACUUGAAAUUUAAUUUGAUAAUACACAUUCUAAAAAACUAAUUUUAUAUUUUUAUAUAUUACUGUUUAAAUUUAAUUUUUUAAUUAAAAUUUUAAUUUAAAAUAUUUUAAAUAAUUCAAGUCAAAAUAUAAAUUAAAAUUAGAAUAAUUUGAGUUACUUUUAAAUAUAAUUAUAUAUAUAUAUAUCUUAAAAAUAAUUAAAAAAAUUAUAUAUUAGAAUUUAAUAAUAAAUAUUUUUAUUUAAAAAUAUUAAAAUAAAAAUUAAAUAUGUACAUAUUGCCCGUCAUUUUUAUAUAAUAUAUUAUAAAUAUUUUAUAAAACAAGUCGUAACAAAGUAAUUUAACUGGAAAGAUAAAUUAGAAUU
rnacentral:rRNA from 1 species